rnacentral:sRNA from 1 species
UUGAAGGUCAGGAGAUUGAAGUCCUCCAUUUUUUUUUCACAGAACAGGUAGCACACGGACAACAGAAAUUCAGCUUUUCUCUGCCAAUGUGCUUUGAGCCUGACCUGGGGGUUAGGGGCUGUCACUGGGACGAGAGGGUAGCUCAUUCAUUCAGUCCUACGUCAUUCUUCUGAAACC